CAGAUUGAAUCUCUGGAGCGUUGGAAUGACUGGAAAUGAAAGUGAACACCCACCAUCAACUGUUGCACAUUCAUCAACAUAUCCAUGUGGUCCCCAGGGGUGACAGGACAUCAAUACUGACCUGGAAUCAGCAGCAUGGAUCUACUACUAUGCUGUUAACUCUCUGCAGUGCAGCUCAAGUAAAAUGCAACGAGAGACAAUUCAGUGUGAGGUGUGCCGCUGGAAAUGUGGCAGACACAAGGAAAACCUCAUUAGGGUUACAGCUCGGUAAAGCCUACUUUACAUUGCUGAAUGUUUUAACAAAUCAUCUCUCCUCCUAACCCACUGUCUUUUAUUUAUUAUA